CCUACGGGUGGCAGCAGUGAGGAAUAUUGGUCAAUGGUCGGGAGACUGAACCAGCCAAGCCGCGUGAGGGAGGAAGGUACAAAGUAUCGUAAACCUCUUUUGUCAGGGAACAAAGUCGGGGACGUGUCCCAGGAUGAGUGUACCUGAAGAAAAAGCAUCGGCUAACUCCGUGCCAGCAGCCGCGGUAAUACGGAGGAUGCGAGCGUUAUCCGGAUUUAUUGGGUUUAAAGGGUGCGCAGGCGGUCUGUUAAGUCAGCGGUAAAAGCCCGGGGCUCAACCCCGGCGCGCCGUUGAAACUGGCAGUCUGGAGAUGGAGAGAGGUAUGCGGAAUGCGCGGUGUAGCGGUGAAAGGCAUAGAUAUCGCGCAGAACUCCGAUUGCGAAGGCAGCAUGCCGGCUCCAAACUGACGCGGAGGCACGAAAGCGUGGGUAUCGAACAGGAUUAGAUACCCGAGUAGUC
rnacentral:rRNA from 1 species